rnacentral:lncRNA from 1 species
GUUUAUGGAAAUGUAUUGAAGAUAAACGUAACUCAAGCCAGGUGUUUUUGGUCAGAACAAGCAGUUUGUAAACUCUGCGCUGUUAUGAUAAAUGACAUUGAAUAAAGAGAAGCAAAUAAAACUGAUGAAUACAAAAACAAUCUUAACCGUACAAGACAAGUAUAGAUUGAGUUGGGCUGUUACAAGUUUAAUUCAUAACAGUUACAUUGCCUCACCCCUGCCAUCAAACCCUUCAGUGGCUUCAAGUGUAGGCAUAGCCUCUACAGGUACUGCAGCAGAAGGAAAGCAGAGUCAGGAGGGUCUUGGAAGAAGUUCAGAAAAGAUCCAAAUAGGCAGUCUGAACAGUCUUACUUGUUUGCAGGUGGAGUAAUGCACGAAUGGAUAAAAAAGAGUGAGCUGUUGAGGAGCAAAUGGAGAUCCGUGUCCAGGGGAGUGAUGCUAUUGCGAGUGUGAAAGGUUGUCCAGGAAGUAACUAAGAAGACAUGAACAGAGAGGUAAGUACUAGAGCUAUGAGCAACGUGAGGCCAAUAACUGACAUUGGUUAACAGAUAAUAUGGCAAAGACUGGUUGUGAACGGUGGUCUUAAAUACAGCUGGCUUGAUUUGUCUCAGGUGGUGAUCCUCAGAGGACCGAUGAAGUAGAGCAGCCAGCACCCCAAGUAGAGCAGGCACUGUGGAAAAAUAGUUGUGACUCAACUAGACCAUUACAAAGUAUGGCCUGGAGGAUUUUCAUCUCAAGGUGCAAGAACAUUCUUAAUGACUGUACACGGCAGCUGCUGAUGGACGAUGUUGGGCCAGAUGUGCUACAGUUAGCGUUAAGGAGGUUGGAGACAAUGCAGAGAAGCCUUCAGUGGGCAAGAGGAAGACUGAUCAAUGUAACUGCAGCAGAUCAACUUCUGCGUGACUUGGCUGAAUUGAUUCAGGAUGUCGAACUGUCUACUCAGCAUGGGCAACAAGGCUGUUUUGGAUACCAGGCACCAGUGGUUUUCAGCAGAGGUAGAGGUAGAUCCCUUUACCUUAUCACUCGGGAACAGCUUUCAUUCCUGAAGUCAUGUGGAUUCACUGCACCUCAGAUGGCUGAUAUUUUGAGUGUUUCACUUCGUACAAUUUGAAGACGUCUGCGACAGUAUCAUUUCACCCGUGCAUCAAUGUAUGCGGAACUGACUGACAGUGCCUUGGAUGAACAUGUGCAGGACAUUGUCGCUGGCAAUGAACAAACUGGUCCUGAGGCUGUCAGAGCCUCCCUGCGAGUACGUGGACUACGUGUACAGCGAAGGAGGGUUUGAGCAAGCAUGUUACGGAUGAAUCCUGGAGCAGCUGCCCUUAGAGCAGUUUUGCGGAGACCAGAACGAAGAACAUAUCAGGUUGCAGGUCCAAACUCAUUGUGGCACAUUGCUGGAAAUCACAAGCUGAUAAG